GGGAGUGGAUAGGUUCUGGUGUUCCUUCUAGUCUUCAAAACUAGCAUGAGGGGUUAAUAGCUUCUUAGGUGGGUUCGAUUCCCACACAUUCCCGCCA
rnacentral:tRNA from 1 species